rnacentral:rRNA from 1 species
UACGUAGGGUGCAAGCGUUGUCCGGAAUUAUUGGGCGUAAAGAGCUCGUAGGCGGCUGCUCAAGUCGAAUGUGAAAACUCGAGGCUCAACCUCGAGCCUGCAUUCGAUACUGGGCGGCUAGAGUCUGGUAGGGGGAUCUGGAAUUCCUGGUGUAGCGGUGGAAUGCGCAGAUAUCAGGAGGAACACCGGUGGCGAAGGCGGGAUCCUGGGCCAGUACUGACGCUGAGGAGCGAAAGCGUGGGGAGCAAACAGGG